rnacentral:rRNA from 1 species
GACGAACGCUGGCGGCGUGCUUAACACAUGCAAGUCGAACGGAAAGGCCCUGCUUUUGUGGGGUGCUCGAGUGGCGAACGGGUGAGUAACACGUGAGUAACCUGCCCUUGACUUUGGGAUAACUUCAGGAAACUGGGGCUAAUACCGGAUAGGAGCUCCUGCUGCAUGGUGGGGGUUGGAAAGUUUCGGCGGUUGGGGAUGGACUCGCGGCUUAUCAGCUUGUUGGUGGGGUAGUGGCUUACCAAGGCUUUGACGGGUAGCCGGCCUGAGAGGGUGACCGGCCACAUUGGGACUGAGAUACGGCCCAGACGCCUACGGGAGGCAGUAGUGGGGAAUAUUGCACAAUGGGCGGACGCCUGAUGCAGCAACGCCGCGUGCGGGAUGACGGCCUUCGGGUUGUAAACCGCUUUCGCAUGUGACGAAGCGUGAGUGACGGUAAUGGGUAAAGAAGCACCGGCUAACUACGUG